CUGCUUACUUUGAGAUGGCUGCAUAUCUCAAUUCGCAGUUAAUGCCUAUUGGUGUCGAUUCUACUCUCGCGCGACCUGCGCAAGAGGCCGGUUACGGCGGAUACCAAAGGCUCCCACGCAUUGAGAUCAAAAAAUUCAACGGCGAGAGGACCGGGCUGCGGCACUGGAAACCCUUGCCCAGGCGCAACCCCCAACCAAGAGAAGCAGCUUAGUAGUCGCUGCGACAAGUGAUGGUUCUACCAAACAAUCUACAAAAAGCUUAAAAUAAUUUACUGCGAGACCAACUGCUGGCACAGCCUGGUGGUCCGUACCUCCAUAACACACGUUUUGGCUACAUUGUAGCUGGGAGAGUGAGUGACAGCGAACAAGCU